UCAUGAACGCCGACCUGCAGCCACACGCCGCCAGCGCCGCCCGGAUGGCCUCCGGGAUGACCUCGCGCGCGCGCCGACCGGAACCCCGCCAUUCCGCUGGGUGACCGGGGCGUCCUGCCGUCCG
rnacentral:sRNA from 12 species